CCGGGCGGUGAUGAGGAACACGGUGUAUGCUGUGAAGAGGCUGAAGGAGGACGCUGACCUGGAGUGGACUGCAGUGAAGCAGAGCUUCCUGACCGAGGUGGAGCAGCUGUCCAGGUUUCGUCACCCAAACAUUGUGGACUUUGCUGGCUACUGUGCUCAGAACGGCUUCUACUGCCUGGUGUACGGCUUCCUGCCCAACGGCUCCCUGGAGGACCGUCUCCACUGCCAGACCCAGGCCUGCCCACCUCUCUCCUGGCCUCAGCGACUGGACAUCCUUCUGGGUACAGCCCGGGCAAUUCAGUUUCUACAUCAGGACAGCCCCAGCCUCAUCCAUGGAGACAUCAAGAGUUCCAACGUCCUUCUGGAUGAGAGGCUGACACCCAAGCUGGGAGACUUUGGCCUGGCCCGGUUCAGCCGCUUUGCCGGGUCCAGCCCCAGCCAGAGCAGCAUGGUGGCCCGGACACAGACAGUGCGGGGCACCCUGGCCUACCUGCCCGAGGAGUACAUCAAGACGGGAAGGCUGGCUGUGGACACGGACACCUUCAGCUUUGGGGUGGUAGUGCUAGAGACCUUGGCUGGUCAGAGGGCUGUGAAGACGCACGGUGCCAGGACCAA
rnacentral:sRNA from 1 species